rnacentral:misc_RNA from 1 species
AUGAAACUGAACCAAACGAGGUGUACAAAUAUGAAGUGAAUUUCAGAGGAAAGACCAGAAUACAACCAGACCAUGAAAAUUCACAAGACUGAUGCAGAAAAAAAUAAACAAACGGGUAAUAAGUCCUUAACUAGAACCACUAGAGUAGAAGUUUAGAGAAAAAAGCAGUAGGGUGUCUAUGCAGGGGCAGAAGAAGUGAAUGAACACUCCCCGUACUUUAUCCAUUUCCAGAACCCAAAACUAUAUGAUGGCAAACCCCACUAGGUUGGAUACUAUCUCAAGUCAGAGAUACAAUUGGAACCGACCAAGCCAUACAAACUGGGGGCGCUAAUGGACGCUCCCUCCUCCCACUUCUACCAUGACAUACAAGAUCCCGACUUGAUG